AUUGAACGCUGGCUGCAGGCCUAACACAUGCAAGUCGAACGAGUGGCGUACGGGUGUGCAAUGUCUGGGAAACUGCCCGAUGGAGGGGGAUAACUACUGGAAACGGUAGCUAAUACCGCAUACCAUCGGAUGUGCCCAGAUGUGAUUAGCUAGUAGGUGGGGUAACGGCUCACCUAGGCGACGAUCCCUAGCUGGUCUGAGAGGAUGACCGGCCACACUGGAACUGAGACACGGGCGAGAAUCCUCAGGGAGGCAGCAGGGGGGAAUAUGGCAGAAAGGGCGGAGGCCUGAUGCAGCCAUGCCGGGUGUAUGAAGAAGGCCUUCGGGUUGUAAAGUACUUUCGGCGAGGAGGGGUUACUCGCAGAAGAAGCACCGGCUAACUCCGUGCCAGCAGCCGCGGUAAUAC
rnacentral:rRNA from 1 species